rnacentral:rRNA from 1 species
CACGUAGUUAGCCGUGGCUUAUUCAAGGGGUACCGUCUUCUGCUCUUCCCCCUUAAAAGAAGUUUACAACCCGAAAGCCUUCUUCCUUCACGCGGCGUUGCUGGGUCAGACUUGCGUCCAUUGCCCGAUAUUCCCCACUGCUGCCUCCCGUAGGAGUCUGGGCCGUAUCUCAGUCCCAAUGUGGCCGGCCAACCUCUCAGUCCGGCUACUGAUCGUCGCCUUGGUGGGCCGUUACCUCACCAACUAGCUAAUCAGACGCGAGGCCAUCUUCCAGCGAUAAAUCUUUGACAUUCAAACCAUGCGAUUCAAAUGUAUCAUGCGGUAUUAGCAGUCGUUUCCAACUGUUGUCCCCCUCUGGAAGGCAGGUUCCUCACGCGUUACUCACCAGUCCGCCACUAAGUGUUCCCAUCCAUUGUCCGAAAACUCUUUCAGGGGCACUCCGUUCGACUUGCAUGUGUUAAGCACGCCGCCAGCGUUCGUCCUGAGCCAGGAUCAAACCU